rnacentral:lncRNA from 1 species
GCGGGGGUUGUUCCGGCAGCCUUUCACUGAGGCCACCCGCCAGUUUCAAAUUCAGUGGCGUUUGCCCUGAUUCCCGGGGCCUGGCUUUCAGCGUAGCAAUUCUGCCGGCGAAGAAGGUGAGCGAUUGCUGCUGUGCAGAAGGUCAGUCCUACCUUUUUCUUUCUGAGAGCCUCCCAACCCCGAGAUCACAUUUCUCACUGCCUUCUGUCUGCCCAGUUUCACCGGGAGAAGUCGGCCUCUUCCUGAUGGGCAACCACACCACCGCCCGGCGCCGUGCCCUUCCUUUGUCCUGCCCUCUGGAGACAGUGUUUGUCGUGGGCGUGGUCUGCAGGGAUCCUGUUACAAAGGUGAAA